rnacentral:rRNA from 1 species
GUUAAGCGACUAAGCGUACACGGUGGAUGCCCUGGCAGUCAGAGGCGAUGAAGGACGUGCUAAUCUGCGAAAAGCAACGGCGAGGUGAUAUGAACCUUUGACCCGUUGAUGUCCGAAUGGGGAAACCCAGUGCAAUCCGUUGCACUAUCGUUAGCUGAAUACAUAGGCUAACGAGGCGAACCGGGGGAACUGAAACAUCUAAGUACCCCGAGGAAAAGAAAUCAACCGAGAUUCCCCCAGUAGCGGCGAGCGAACGGGGAGCAGCCCAGAGCCUGAAUCAGCAUGUGUGUUAGUGGAACGGUCUGGAAAGGCCGGCGAUACAGGGUGACAGCCCCGUACACGAAAAUGCAUGUGUUGUGAGCUCGAUGAGUAGGGCGGGACACGUGGUAUCCUGUCUGAAUAUGGGGGGACCAUCCUCCAAGGCUAAAUACUCCUGACUGACCGAUAGUGAACCAGUACCGUGAGGGAAAGGCGAAAAGAACCCCGGCGAGGGGAGUGAAAAAGAACCUGAAACCGUGUACGUACAAGCAGUGGGAGCACUCUUUACGGGUGUGACUGCGUACCUUUUGUAUAAUGGGUCAGCGACUUAUAUUCUGUAGCAAGGUUAACCGUAUAGGGGAGCCGCAGGGAAACCGAGUCUUAACUGGGCGUUAAGUUGCAGGGUAUAGACCCGAAACCCGGUGAUCUAGCCAUGGGCAGGUUGAAGGUUGGGUAACACUAACUGGAGGACCGAACCGACUAAUGUUGAAAAAUUAGCGGAUGACCUGUGGCUGGGGGUGAAAGGCCAAUCAAACCGGGAGAUAGCUGGUUCUCCCCGAAAGCUAUUUAGGUAGCGCCUCGUGAACUCAUCUCCGGGGGUAGAGCACUGUUUCGGCUAGGGGGCCAUCCCGGCUUACCAACCCGAUGCAAACUGCGAAUACCGGAGAAUGUUAUCACGGGAGACACACGGCGGGUGCUAACGUCCGUCGUGAAGAGGGAAACAACCCAGACCGCCAGCUAAGGUCCCAAAGUCAUGGUUAAGUGGGAAACGAUGUGGGAAGGCCCAGACAGCCAGGAUGUUGGCUUAGAAGCAGCCAUCAUUUAAAGAAAGCGUAAUAGCUCACUGGUCGAGUCGGCCUGCGCGGAAGAUGUAACGGGGCUAAACCAUGCACCGAAGCUGCGGCAGCGACACUUAUGUGUUGUUGGGUAGGGGAGCGUUCUGUAAGCCGUUGAAGGUGUGCUGUGAGGCAUGCUGGAGGUAUCAGAAGUGCGAAUGCUGACAUAAGUAACGAUAAAGCGGGUGAAAAGCCCGCUCGCCGGAAGACCAAGGGUUCCUGUCCAACGUUAAUCGGGGCAGGGUGAGUCGACCCCUAAGGCGAGGCCGAAAGGCGUAGUCGAUGGGAAACAGGUUAAUAUUCCUGUACUUGGUGUUACUGCGAAGGGGGGACGGAGAAGGCUAUGUCAGCCGGGCGACGGUUGUCCCGGUUUAAGCAUGUAGGCUGGUUUUCCAGGCAAAUCCGGAAAAUCAAGGCUGAGGUGUGAUGACGAGGCACUACGGUGCUGAAGUGAUAAAUGCCCUGCUUCCAGGAAAAGCCUCUAAGCUCCAGGUAACACGAAAUCGUACCCCAAACCGACACAGGUGGUCAGGUAGAGAAUACCAAGGCGCUUGAGAGAACUCGGGUGAAGGAACUAGGCAAAAUGGUGCCGUAACUUCGGGAGAAGGCACGCUGGUGUGUAGGUGAAGCCCCUGCGGGUGGAGCUGAAACCAGUCGAAGAUACCAGCUGGCUGCAACUGUUUAUUAAAAACACAGCACUGUGCAAACACGAAAGUGGACGUAUACGGUGUGACGCCUGCCCGGUGCCGGAAGGUUAAUUGAUGGGGUCAGCGGCAACGCGAAGCUCUUGAUCGAAGCCCCGGUAAACGGCGGCCGUAACUAUAACGGUCCUAAGGUAGCGAAAUUCCUUGUCGGGUAAGUUCCGACCUGCACGAAUGGCGUAAUGAUGGCCAGGCUGUCUCCACCCGAGACUCAGUGAAAUUGAACUCGCUGUGAAGAUGCAGUGUACCCGCGGCAAGACGGAAAGACCCCGUGAACCUUUACUAUAGCUUGACACUGAACACUGGUCCUUGAUGUGUAGGAUAGGUGGGAGGCUUUGAAGCGUGGACGCCAGUCUGCGCGGAGCCGUCCUUGAAAUACCACCCUUUAAUGGCUGGUGUUCUAACGUGGACCCGUAAUCCGGGUUGCGGACAGUGUCUGGUGGGUAGUUUGACUGGGGCGGUCUCCUCCCAAAGAGUAACGGAGGAGCACGAAGGUCAGCUAAUCCUGGUCGGACAUCAGGAGGUUAGUGCAAUGGCAUAAGCUGGCUUGACUGCGAGCGUGACGGCGCGAGCAGGUGCGAAAGCAGGUCAUAGUGAUCCGGUGGUUCUGAAUGGAAGGGCCAUCGCUCAACGGAUAAAAGGUACUCCGGGGAUAACAGGCUGAUACCGCCCAAGAGUUCAUAUCGACGGCGGUGUUUGGCACCUCGAUGUCGGCUCAUCACAUCCUGGGGCUGAAGUAGGUCCCAAGGGUAUGGCUGUUCGCCAUUUAAAGUGGUACGCGAGCUGGGUUUAGAACGUCGUGAGACAGUUCGGUCCCUAUCUGCCGUGGGCGCUGGAGAAUUGAGGGGGGCUGCUCCUAGUACGAGAGGACCGGAGUGGACGCAUCACUGGUGUUCGGGUUGUCAUGCCAAUGGCACUGCCCGGUAGCUAAAUGCGGAAGAGAUAAGUGCUGAAAGCAUCUAAGCACGAAACUUGCCCCGAGAUGAGUUCUCCCUGACUCCUCGAGAGUCCUGAAGGAACGUUGAAGACGACGACGUUGAUAGGCCGGGUGUGUAAGCGCAGCGAUGCGUUGAGCUAACCGGUACUAAUGAACCGUGAGGCUUAACC